rnacentral:rRNA from 1 species
CAUAUCAAUAAGCGGAGGAAAAGAAACCAACAGGGAUUGCCUCAGUAACGGCGAGUGAAGCGGCAACAGCUCAAAUUUGAAAUCUGGCUGCCUGUGCAGUCCGAGUUGUAAUUUGAAGAGGAUGCUUUUGGCAAGGUGCCUUCCGAGUUCCCUGGAAUGGGACGCCAUAGAGGGUGAGAGCCCCGUAUGGUCGGUCGCCGAGCCUCUGUAAAGCUCCUUCGACGAGUCGAGUAGUUUGGGAAUGCUGCUCAAAAUGGGAGGUAAACCCCUUCUAAAGCUAAAUACUGGCCAGAGACCGAUAGCGCACAAGUAGAGUGAUCGAAAGAUGAAAAGCACUUUGAAAAGAGAGUUAAACAGCACGUGAAAUUGUUGAAAGGGAAGCGCUUGCGACCAGACUUGUGCUCGUCGAAUCAGCCGUCGCUCGUCGGCGGCGCAUUUCGGCGGGCUCAGGCCAGCAUCAGUUCGCUGUGGGGGAGAAAGGCGGUAGGAAUGUGGCUCCUCGGAGUGUUAUAGCCUACCGUAUAAUACCCCUCGGCGGACUGAGGACCGCGCAUCUGCAAGGAUGCUGGCGUAAUGGUUGUCAGCGACCCGUCUUGAAACACGGACCAAGGAGUCGUCCUAAUAUGCGAGUGUUCGGGUGUCAAACCCCUACGCGUAAUGAAAGUGAACGGAGGUGAGAGCUUCGGCGCAUCAUCGACCGAUCCUGAUGUUCUCGGAUGGAUUUGAGUAUGAGCAUAUUGGGCCGGACCCGAAAGAAGGUGAACUAUGCCUGUAUAGGGUAAAGCCAGAGGAAACUCUGGUGGAGGCUCGCAGCGGUUCUGACGUGCAAAUCGAUCGUCAAAUAUGGGCAUGGGGGCGAAAG